CGCACGGGUGAGUAGCGCGUGGGAACCUGCCCUGUUGUGGGGGAUAACCGAGGGAAACUUCGGCUAAUACCGCAUGCGCCCCGGAGCGAUCCGGGGAAAGAUUUAUCGCAGCAGGAGGGGCCCGCGUCGGAUUAGCUAGUUGGUGGGGUAACGGCCCACCAAGGCGAUGAUCCGUAGCUGGUCUGAGAGGAUGAUCAGCCACACUGGGACUGAGACACGGCCCAG
rnacentral:rRNA from 1 species